UCUCACUUGCAUAAUCUCAGUGCAGAAGAGUACACAUUUUGCUCCCCGUCUCCAAUUUUUCAUAGAGCCAUUCUGACAUCUUCGAAGAAGAUUCAUCUGACGAUCCAGCAAGGACUUACCUAAGUUGAAGCUACACCAUGAGACUGUUUGUCUGCGCUCUGCUUGUGACGAUCGUUGCUGUGGCGAUGCUGGUUGACGACGCCCAAAGCUGGAGGAGGAGGAGGAGGAGAAGGGCCCCUGCGGAUGAUACAGCGCAAGAGCUGAGGGAGGUUGUGGAAGAGACAGGAGACAUCCUGGAUCUUCUGGAGGAGAAACAGGAGCAGCUGCUGGAAGAACUCCAGGAGAAUCCGGAGGAGGAAGACUGUAAGAAAUCUCACUUUUUGGUCA